AUGCAUGCAUGGACAGAAAAGGAGAGAAGGCGAGGACGUACUGAGGGCCUGGGUCUUGCGGCGGUGGUCGGCGGUGAGGAAGACGGUGGAGGGGACGACCUUGGCGGGGCCGCAGGUGUAGCCGGGGCCGGGGCCGAGGAGGGUGAAGUUCUUGGGGACCUUGACGGUGCGGUUGGUGGUGCCGGCCUGGCCGACGCUGACCUGGAAGGAGGACACGGCGCCGGACGGGUCCUGGCCGUAGGCGGAGACGACGCCGCCGCGGCAGCAGUUGGCGAUCUGCUGGUUGUAGGGCACGCCCGGGAGCAGGUCGACGACGGCGGGGGUGCGCUUGCACGAGUGCGGGAGGUUGGCCUUGAACUUGGAGCAGUCGCCCUGCUCCGUGGCCUGCGCGCCCACCAUGGACCAGAUCACCUCCCGCUUCGCCCACGUCCACCCCACCGUCCACCCCGGCGCCAUGAUCUGCCGGUACGUCUGGAAGUUGUUGAUCGUCACCGUCGCCUGCCAUGCGUGCAUGCAACCGAUCGGUUAGUUCGUCCACAUUGUUCCUGA
rnacentral:rRNA from 1 species